rnacentral:rRNA from 1 species
CGUGAGCGGCGGACGGGUGAGUAACGCGUGGGUAACCGUGCCUCAUACAGGGGAGUAACAGUUGGAAACGGACUGCUAAUACCGCAUAAGCGCACAGUACCGCAUGGUACGGUGUGAAAAACUCCGGUGGUAUGAGAUGGACCCGCGUCUGAUUAGGUAGUUGGUGGGGUAACGGCCUACCAAGCCGACGAUCAGUAGCCGACCUGAGAGGGUGACCGGCCACAUUGGGACUGAGACACGGCCCAA